CCCGUCAGGAUCUGCUUGGCCAGCCGGAUCACGUCUUUCUCUGUGAAGGCCUCGUCGUUAUCGGCCACGCAUUGGUUGAAGAUUUCACCGCCAGCAGCGCUGCAGUGAAAGCACAGGAAGGAAAAAAGCAUGCACGGGAAUUCCAUGUCUGGGAUGAAAAUGACUGCUGAGGACCAGAGAAGGCCCUCCGACCGGAGACUGACUGGAACAGUGGCGAAGUCGAAGUGUAAUGAGGCAAGUGAGGUCAUUUAAAUGAUGGUCAAGUGGUUUUUAUGAUUCUAAAGUAAAUUUGUCAGAGGACACAAAGUCAUCACACAAUGCCUAACUGACAACGAAAUGAUGCUUCAGCUUACGGACACACUGCCUCAAACAUCAAAGGCCGCACUGCAAAAUCGAAAUGACUCAGUUGCUGUUCUCAUACUCGGCUGCAUGCAGUUUCAGCCGCAUUAGCAUUCAGAGCGUCAAGUUCCCGUCCAUCAUUAAACUGAGGCGCAAAGAGCAAACAACCACAGCAAGUGAGAAUUCAUGUCACACGGAUGCACGAGUGUGAAUUCACACGAAGCCGUCCAUCCUGCAAAAGACGAUGCAUUUCUGAUCUUUGCUGACAAGAUUUCUUGACAUCAAACAAUCAGGGAAACGCCGACUGACUGAAUGAUUUUUUUUUUUUUUUACCUAAAACGACUCAAACUUCGUGAGAAAAAUUUACUUCACCGCCGUCUAUUUUAGACUAGAAAUGUUGCAUUACCUGCGAUAAUAAUAGUGUGAAUACUUUUUACUAAAAGUGUAGUCGCUGAAGAUGUUGAAGCUUUUUGCUCAAACUGGUGACGCCAUUUACUUUA